AUUGAACGCUGGCGGCAUGCCUUACACAUGCAAGUCGAACGGUAACAGGUCUUCGGAUGCUGACGAGUGGCGAACGGGUGAGUAAUACAUCGGAACGUGCCCGAUCGUGGGGGAUAACGAGGCGAAAGCUUUGCUAAUACCUCAUACGAUCUACGGAUGAAAGCGGGGGAUCUUCGGACCUCGCGCGGACGGAGCGGCCGAUGGCAGAUUAGGUAGUUGGUGGGAUAAAAGCUUACCAAGCCGACGAUCUGUAGCUGGUCUGAGAGGAUGAUCAGCCACACUGGGACUGAGACACGGCCCAGACUCCUACGGGAGGCAGCAGUGGGGAAUUUUGGACAAUGGGCGAAAGCCUGAUCCAGCCAUGCCGCGUGCAGGAUGAAGGCCUUCGGGUUGUAAACUGCUUUUGUACGGAACGAAAAGCCUCUUUCUAAUAAAGAGGGGUCAUGACGGUACCGUAAGAAUAAGCACCGGCUAACUACGUG
rnacentral:rRNA from 1 species